ACGAACGCUGGCGGCGUGCUUAACACCUGCCAGUCGAACGGAAAGGCCCUGCUUGCAGGGUACUCGAGUGGCGAACGGGUGAGUAACACGUGGGUGAUCUGCCCUGCACUUCGGGAUAAGCCUGGGAAACUGGGUCUAAUACCGGAUAGGAGCCAUUUUUAGUGUGAUGGUUGGAAGGUUUUUUCGGUGUAGGAUGAGCUCGCGGCCUAUCAGCUUGUUGGUGGGGUAAUGGCCUACCAAGGCGGCGACGGGUAGCCGGCCUGAGAGGGUGGACGGCCACAUUGGGACUGAGAUACGGCCCAGACUCCUACGGGAGGCAGCAGUGGGGAAUAUUGCACAAUGGGCGCAAGCCUGAUGCAGCGACGCCGCGUGGGGGAUGACGGCCUUCGGGUUGUAAACUCCUUUCGCUAGGGACGAAGCUUUUUGUGACGGUACCUAGAUAAGAAGCACCGGCUAACUACGUG
rnacentral:rRNA from 1 species